rnacentral:lncRNA from 7 species
AUGACAAUGCCCAUACGUGCACUGCUGUAAUGAGAGGGAGCAUCUGUGUCUGAGCUGGUUGUGAUUGUGUUGAAAAGAGACAGAUUGUCAUCGUGUGUCAGUCCUUACUCUUCCACUGAACAUGAAACUUCCUUGGUCGUGCUGUUGGUUCAGUCUCCAGUCUCCAUUUUCAUAUCAACUGCAGGUUUUUGUGGUGUUGCUUGUCUUCAUCUCACUUACAGAAUUCUGCAUGAUAAACUAAUGAGAAACAUAAAUGGCUCGCUAAUAAUAGUGCUGCCAAACAGCUGUGUAUGCGUGCAGCCCAGCUGAAAUGGACAAGGAGACGAGUAGGAACUGUGUUAUAAAAACAGAGGAUCACUCCUUGCAGUUCAGCUCUGCCUUCCACACAGCUUUUGGCUCAGCUGUGGGAAGGAGUCUAAAGUACUGGGUGACAUUCAUACAUGUUCGAUACAGGGGAGGGCAGAGGGCAGUAUUUUUAUCCUGUUAUUCCCUUUUAUCAAUCUCAGUUAUUAAGCAAGUGGUGCAAAUUAGCAUUAACCUUGACUUAAGCAUCUAAGAGCAAUUUCCCAUUAGGCUAAUUAUGUAUAUCCCACUGUGUUUCUUGCAGGGUCUGUGUCUCAUGGGUGCAUGCCAUACUGCCCCUUUGGGAUACAGUGCAGUGAGUAGGAAAAGAAAUGUGUUUGAACUUGGCAUAACUGCAGUAAACAUAACGUUACGACUGGAACUUUCUUGGAUUGCUCUUUUCUCUCUUGCUGUCAUAGGCCAAUAUCUUGGUUCUCUGCUGUCAGUUGCUUAGAAGCAAUGUUACUGAGAAGGAGGAAUCACUUCUGCCUCAGUUUCGUGCAUGUAUUGAGACUGAAAAAACUACAGCUGGACUAAAUGCUGUAACCACAGCUCACUUUAUGUAGCUCUUUUUGCCGUGGACAUAACUGCCCACUGAAAGAAAAUGAAGAUGCAUCACUUUCAUUUUUUUUUAAGGUCUUGCUGUAUCCAUGAACAGAAAGCAGUAACAAAGGGAGAAACUGGAGCUGCCUCAUCAGUGCCAUUUCCAUACCGUGUCUGGUCUCUGGAGAAGGACAGCACGGAUGAAUUUGUGCAACAAGCCAACCAGCCAUAGAAGAUUAUAUCUUACAAGAAAAUCCACUUGUGGUGACUUGUAAGCUACGUUGGCCAUCCCUCACCCACAGUGGUAAGCAGUCUUCUGAGAUCCGCGAGAAUCUUUUUGGUAUACCUGGAAAUUAGUCUGAUUAUUUAAGUUUCUAAAGACAGAAUUGAGAAUCCACCUUCUGUGGACUAAAGAAUCUGUUUAGUGCUUGUUUCUCGUCUUGGCUGUUCUACUACAGUGAGCUUUACCACUUGAAUUCACUGAUUGAAGUUUUAAGCCGAAUAAAGCCUCUAUUUAUUUUAUUUCUCUUUUCAAAAUCUGUUACCAAAACGCAGAGUAUUUUGCAGUUCAAAAACUGCUCUUAUUAAACUGAUCUAUGCCAUCCUCC